CAGCCUCCUCCUUCCCCCUGGCACCGCGUUUCCGGCCACCGCAAGACGAGCACGAGGUGGCGGACGACGCACCGUGUGCCGCUGACUGCGUUUCCAGCCCCCUCUCACGUGAACGGAGCUCCAGCGGCGCGAUCGGACUGCUUCUGCAAACCGCACCUUGCUCUUCCAUUCUCAGGCGAAAUCUCGCCGUUUAGUCGAUCUCAGGCGACGGGAAGGGUGCCAAUCGACUCCUAAUCACCUCUAGAGCAUUUUCCUUCCAUAAAUUUGCGACUUUACCAAAGAUUUGAGAAGCAAUCGUGCGCGGAGGAGGUGCAGCGGCUGUCGGGCCCAAUUCGGCCAAUUAGAGGACUGAUCUCACUAAACUAACACUAAAAAUGGAAUCCUUGGUGAAUUUUGAGACUAAUGGUAUGAUCGUUGCAAAUUUCUGGGCAGUUUUGCUUUUUCCGGCCUCCGUGUACGGCAGCGGUCCGGCGACACUCAGGCGAGGCAUCAAGAGACAGAAUCUUACUCUCCUCGCGUGGAUCCUAGAAUCGUCACUUGAAUUUCGAUCGGUAUGCCCUAAGUUCUAUUUUCCGAUUUGUGUUAUAAAUUUCAAAUUUAAAUUUAUGGUUUAAUUUAGUUAAUUUUGAAUAGAUAUUUAAUCGAAGGGCUUUGAAAUAUUAGGUUGGAAGCUUGUGAAUUUAAUUGGGGGAUUUUUAAGAGAAUUCGAACUUAGGAUUCACUUGUUAGAAAUUGUGAUUAUAUUAGGUUGAGUACGUAAUUAAAAAUCACUAUUCAACCUAACUAAAUACAUUUAAUGUUGAAAAUCUAGAACAUAAGUCAUUUUGGAAUAAUUGUCAUAAAUCGAAACAUGAAGGACGAAUCGGAAUUAAUUAGUUAGAUAAUUAGAUGAUCGAAUCUAAAUAAAUAGUAGUUAUAAAUAGUUAUUGUUAAAAAUGAGUUGUAACAACUUAACAAUUUAAUUACCAUAAAGUUAUUAAUUUGGUCAGCUUAUGAUUUAACAAAUAAUCUUAUAUGAGUAUUAUUGGGUGUUAAUACUGAUGUUUAAGGAGGAUGGGAAUAAAGCUGAUUGAUUGCCCGAUGGAUGGGCUGUGUGUAUUGAUCGAUAAAUAUAUAAUAAUAGUGUGUUAUCUAAAUAGGUGGAUAGUCCAAUUUUUUAGGGGAGGUUCUGCCAAAAUUUCAAUAGAACAUAAUAAAUAAGCUUAUUUAGAUAAAUUCUAUAAUUUGAUACAUAAUAAAUAAAGUGCUCUAAUUAUUUAUUUAUUAUCAUUAUUAUUCGUUUAAGUAUUCCAUUAUUUAUUUAUUCUCAUUAUUAUUGUUUAUUAUUAUUAUUUAUUUUAUUAUUGUUGUUUAUUGUUAAUACUAUUUAUUUAUGUAGUUAUUUGCAUUGCAUUACGAUGUUUAAUUGAUUAAUAUGCUUGCAUUUAAUUGCAAUACUUGAUUAAUUGUGUUGUGAUAUUGCUGUGUUUUGUUUGUGUGGAAUUGGGAUGAAGUGGGUCACCAUGGGUUUGUGAGACAGUGGGUUACCAUGGGUUUGUGAGGACGGUCGAUAAAGCAUGGAUCCUAAUUGUGAUGAAUUAUGAAAUUGGACCGUCGGCCAAGAAAAUGGGAGAUCGGCGCCCUUGUGUGCACCUAAUACCAUGGAUUAUAUAGAAACCACAGGAUGACCUAUCGUUGUUGCGCACCUGAUAGUCUAGAUUUGAUCGCAGCCCGCAGGGUGGCCUCCUGUUGUGAGCGCCUGAUGAUCUAGAUUGGAUGGAGACCACCGGGUUGCCUCCUGUUGGUAUGGAAAAGAAAAGAGAGAAUGUAAAAACAAUGAGAGGACUGAUCGUGUGAGGAUUAGACUGGUCGGCCAGGUGUGGGGGAUUGGCUCCCCGGGUGCACAUGUCUGAGAGGAUGAGCCAGGUAAGAGUACGGCUCGUCGAGGGUUUCGGUGACGCCACUGACUAAUUUCCACAUGAUGUGAUUAUGUGAAGAUGUUAAUAAUUGUGAGUACUGGUGAUAUGCCAUUUGUGUGACUGGCUGCAUGAGCAUAUAACUAGUCGGAUGACUAGAUUGAUAUAUUUAUACAUUUGUGUGAAUGCGUGUGUUGUGCAAUAAGUAUUACUUCUUAGAAGUCUCACAUAUCUUGUUUAAUUUUUAAGGAAGUAAGUUUCUCUUUAAUUCGGUUAAGUUAUGUUCCUUCGCCGCAGGGCUAGAAGAAAAUUUUUCCAGUUCCAUAAUUAUUUUACUAUGUAAUUAUAUGUAUAAAAAGCUAUGUAUACCAAAUAGUUAGUGACUCUGUAGUUGUAGAAUUUGCUUACAAUUAGUCGUGUAUUAACAUAGAUGAUAUAAUUAUGUGAGCCCAUAUUAAAAAUGUGAUGUAUUGUUAAUUGGGCUCGAACUGUGGAAUGUUGUGGCUGAUAAAUUUGGGCCGAGAUUUAAUAAAAUCUUGAGGUUUAAUUUUCUAUAAAUAUGGGCUGAAUGUUUAAAAUUAUAUUGAAAUAGUAAAUUUUUAGUGUUUCACGCUUACUAAGGGUCUCAGGGGCCUUAAGCUUAUCUGGGCCCUAGUGCCGGUCCAGGCCAUGGAUUCGGGUCGUGACAGUUACAUACACUUUAAAAAAAUACAAUAAUUUGUCUAAACCUGAUUUAUGAAUUCAUUCUAUUUCUAUAGAUCAAAUGAACGAAAACUAUAUAUAUAUUUUAAAAUGAGAGCGUUGCUAGCUAUUACUUAGGAAAAAAAGAAAAAAAAUAAAAGUGAAAAUAAUUUUUAAAGAAAUUCGUAUUUGAUCUAUAGGUAAGUCC
rnacentral:lncRNA from 1 species